rnacentral:lncRNA from 1 species
GUAUUAAGGGAACAAAAUAGAUUUAGGCAAAUUGAGGUUAGUUCCCCUAAAUAACUCUGCAGUUACCAUCAUCUCUGGAGACCUUCAGUUAACCGUUUAUUGGCUGGAGACUUGAACUGGCCUGAAACUUGGUAUCACUGGGGGUGGGGGAGGUUUCUUUUCUCUUUUGUCCUAAUGAUUGCUGUAUUAGUAAAGACUCCAAGGUCCUACUUCAGAUGGAAUUCUUCUCUGGAUUCAAAUUACAUCAUUAUCCUUUCUGACUUUCAACCUGAUUUGGUAAAUGGAAUUCUGUAAUCCCUUUUACCCCUUGCCUGAAUUCAAUUUGUUUACCGUCUGACUGAGUUUGGCAUU